ensembl:snRNA U6 U6 spliceosomal RNA
AUGCUCGCUUCGGCAGCACAUAUACUGAAAUUGGAACGAUACAGAGAAGAUUAGCAUGGCCCCUGCACAAGAAUGAAGUGCAAAUUCGUGAAGCAUUCCAUAUUUUU